ACAGACAGGAGCCUUUGGCUCCUCAUGGCCUGGACUGCUCCUGGUGAUGAGGUCUGCCUGGUGGGGAUGGGAGAAGGGCCCUGAGUACCCUUCUGACCCGAGGCCAGGCCUAUUCUGCCAGCUGGCGGGAAGGGACAGGGAGCUGCGGCCUGAUUCCCCUCGGCCAUGCGGCCCUGCUUCUUGCUCGUGGGGCUGGCUCUGAGAUCUAGGCUCAGGAAAGAGGGAACUUCUCACCGCCUGGCCCCCCUGCCAGUGGCCCCGUGGCUGUGGUCGCUGGUGGUCCCCAGUGGCCGGGAUCGCUGCCGGCAGGCAGUUCACACAGCUGCCGUGCGCGGCAGCCAGACUCCUCGGCAACUCCCCAGCGCCGAGAGAAUAUUCCAGGACAGCUUGGAGUCAUUAGGUACUCUCUGCUCACUGCUUGUGAUGAAAGCUGGGUUUCAGGCCCAGGGCCUCUCCUGCUGCCCGCCUUUCUCUCAUUCCCCCAAAUAGCUGGCAAGCCUUGUGAGGAGAGGGGAUGGGAAUGUUGCUCAGCCCCCAACAUCGCUUGCAUUCUCCAGAUUGAUUUCACUCUUCUCCCCAUUCUUCCUUUUCCUGCUGCUCAAUUUGAAAUGAACCACUAUGGCCCUUGGAAGGCAAUGAAAGGAAAGCCGGGUUCUGGCAUUGAGUCUGCUGUGUGAUUUUGGGCAGGUCACAUAACCUCUCUGGACAUCUGUCUGUUUUGUUUGUCAGCAGGAACUCCCGGUCCCUGCCGUCCCUCCCACUCUGUGGAGAUGAGGAAAGCGUGUGUGGAAAGCACUAAUGUGGGAAAGCAGAUGCUCACAGGGGCUGGAACACAUGUUAUCUGGGGGGUCAGGCCUCGGUCAGCCCGGAGGACACUGAAGAAUAGAACCGAAUGGGCAUUCAGGGGCAUCUAGCAAAUCUGCCCCACUCGAAAAGCGGGGAAGCUGAGGCCCAGCCAGUGACGGAGAAAGCUGGGCUUGGAAGUUGGCGUUCCUUCCGCUGGGCCCCCUUGCUAUUUGAUAAUGACGCUGGCGCACUGACUUCCAGGGCAUUUGUGUGCCAGCCCCAAGCCCUAGCCCUUUCCGUGGGGCGUGCCCACUCACCCUUGUGAGGCGGGUCAGGUGGCGUCCAGCAGGAGAGAGACUGGAACGGGACACUCGCUGUGCCCAAGUCUGCCUGCUUAAACAGCAGCCUUUCCUGGGCCUGGAAAACUUGAGAGGAAAUCUAUGCUGUGCUGACACAGAAGGAGAGACUCUCCUUCAGCACCUUGCUGUCCAUUGGGUGAGAGACAGGAUUAGACAUGUUUGCUGGGCCCCGAGGAGCACGUCCACCUUCUGGGCCCAAUGUGGCUGGCACAGGUGCACGAAGGGGUGGACACCUCUCCCAUGCCACCUCCUCAGCUUGUGCCUGGGGAGGGGGCGGCCCAGAGCAGGUCUCAGGGCAGCGCAGGUGUGAAAUCUGCCACAGGAGGAGGCACUUACAGGGGAGGACAAGGGACCAAGGGGCAUCACCACCUCAGGUUUGACUCCCAAUUCCACCAUUUCACGAACUAUGUGACCCUGGGCACAUGACAACGUAUUUAAGCCUCAGUUUCCCUAUCUGUAAAAACUAGUGUUCAAUAUUGACAUCCGGAGGGUUUGAAAUAACUCGCUGACGCAGGGGAUGCUGAGAGCUAUGGGAGCCGCUGAACAAAGGGUCGUGUGGGCGGUGGGCUCAGCCUGGGGGGCCUGGACCUGUGGAAGGAUGGCUGGGAGGACUCCUCCAUCUCCCCAGCACCCUCGUGCUCACAGGUGGCGGCCCCCAGACACCUCUUGGCAGGGCUCCUGGGGGCCCAGCCCCAGCCCCAUUCGGGCCAGACUGGCUCUGGCAGAGACUCCGCUUUCUCCUCCAAACAAUGUUGUCCUCCCAGCCAAGGGCAGCGAGGCGGGCCAGGGAGCUGACCACGCCUGCCUGCCUGCCCUCCAUCUGGGGCGCAUUCCUCAGUCUGCCCCCAAAGGUUUUGUCGGCUGUGCAGCGGGGUAGGGUCAGGUGUCCCCGCUUCCCCGGCCUCUGGCCGUCAGUCUCUCAGGGGAGCACCACGGCAGCUCAGAUGGCCCUGCACCUUUGUCCUUGAGCUCAGGGAUGCUGAGGGUGGCAGAGCAGAGUCGCCCUCCCCUUCUUCAGGCAGGGCCCUGGCGAAGGGCUCUGGCCUCAGGGUUCUCCCCACAGUGCCCAGAAGCCUGUUGCCCCCAUCCCAGCAGCUCUGAAGAAUAGAGCCCCUUUCGAUCUGUCCGUUCGGAGCCAGCACAGCUCUGGGUGCUAUGGCGACAGCGGGAACGAGAAAGACCCGUCUCUUCUCAUGGAGCUCACAUUCCGGUGCCAGCAACACACAAGUCACCCGACAAGGAAUGCAGGAAAUGCCCAACCCCAAUACUAUCCGGGAUAUCAAGGCUGGAGGCACCCUCUAUGGCAGUUCUUCCCACACGGCCAUUUGACGGAAUGAGACUGAGGCCCAGCAACAGCAAGUGACUUAUUAUCGGUUACUAAUAAAAUGCAAAGUUGGUGCCGAA